AUUCCACAUGCAAGAUGGCCGCAGUCGGCAAGGAGAGACGUCGCUGAGGGGAUUGCCUGAAGCGAGGGGAUCCUAACAUUUUCAGAGAACCUUUUGGAAAGAACAAGUCUACUUCAAUAAAUGAAGGAGAAUAAAGAAAAUUCAAGCCCUUCAGUAACUUCAGCAAACCUGGACCACACAAAGCCAUGUUGGUACUGGGAUAAGAAAGACCUGGCUCAUACACCCUCACAGCUUGAAGGACUUGAUCCAGCCACUGAGGCCCGGUACCGCCGAGAGGGCGCUCGGUUCAUCUUUGAUGUGGGCACACGUUUGGGGCUGUAUCCUGACUCUCCUUGGAAUCUGUUACAGAUAGGCUCCCCACUCACCACCAAAUUAGAUUCUGUAGACAAAAUAUAUAGUAAUUUCUCUAUACUAGAGCAGUUCUUAAAUAUCUGUUUGAAUGUUGUUUCUGGUGGGGGGUUUUCUCUUUCUGGUUUGUCAUUUUAAAGGUGUAGACUUAGCCACUGAGGAGGUGGCCAGCCAGGAGGAUAUGAGGCACCC
rnacentral:sRNA from 1 species